rnacentral:rRNA from 1 species
UACAGAGGGUGCGAGCGUUGUUCGGAAUUAUUGGGCGUAAAGAGCUCGUAGGCGGUCUGUCACGUCUGCCGUGAAAACCCGAGGCUUAACCUCGUGGCUUGCGGUGGAUACGGGCAGACUAGAGGUAGGUAGGGGAGAACGGAAUUCCCGGUGUAGCGGUGAAAUGCGCAGAUAUCGGGAGGAACACCGGUGGCGAAGGCGGUUCUCUGGGCCUUACCUGACGCUGAGGAGCGAAAGCAUGGGGAGCGAACAGG